AACGCGAAGAACCUUACCUACACUUGACAUCCCUUGCAUUACUCUUAAUCGAGGAAAUCCCUUCGGGGACAAGGUGACAGGUGGUGCAUGGUUGUCGUCAGCUCGUGUCGUGAGAUGUUGGGUUAAGUCCCGCAACGAGCGCAACCCUUGUCGUUAGUUACUACCAUUAAGUUGAGGACUCUAGCGAGACUGCCUGGGUUAACCAGGAGGAAGGUGGGGAUGACGUCAAAUCAUCAUGCCCCUUAUGUGUAGGGCUACACACGUGCUACAAUGGCUGGUACAGAGAGAUGCAAUACCGCGAGGUGGAGCCAAACUUAAAAACCAGUCUCAGUUCGGAUUGUAGGCUGAAACUCGCCUACAUGAAGCUGGAGUUACUAGUAAUCGCGAAUCAGAAUGUCGCGGUGAAUACGUUCCCGGGUCUUGUACACACCG
rnacentral:rRNA from 1 species